AAAGAAAGUAAGCAAGGGCGCAUGGCGGAUGCCUUGGCUCUCGGAGGCGAUGAAGGACGUGAUAAGCUGCGAUAAGCUUCGGGCAGGUGCAAAUAACCUUUGAUCCGAAGAUUUCCGAAUGGGACAACCCGUCAUUCUGAAGGAAUGACAUCUUGCAUAGCAAGAGGCUAACGCAGGGAACUGAAACAUCUUAGUACCUGUAGGAAAAGAAAAUAAUAAUGAUUCCCCUAGUAGUGGCGAGCGAACGGGGAUUAGCCCAAACCAAUGUUGUUACGGCAAUAUUGGGGUUGUAGGACCACGAUGUCGCAAGAAAUUUAGUGAGAAGAAUUCUUUGGAAAAUGAAACCAUAGACGGUGAUAGUCCGGUAUUCGAAGCUAAAUGAAGCGUAGUGGUAUCCUGAGUAGCGCGGGACACGAGGAAUCUUGCGUGAAUCUGCCGGGACCAUCCGGUAAGGCUAAAUACUCCCGAGAGACCGAUAGCGAACCAGUACUGUGAAGGAAAGGUGAAAAGCACUUCGAAUAGAAGAGUGAAAUAGUCCCUGAAACCGUGCGCCUACAAGCGGUCGGAGCUGCUUCAGCAGUGACGGCGUGCCUUUUGCAUAAUGAACCUACGAGUUACUUUUUCCGGCAAGGUUAAGGAUCUUGAGAUCCGCAGCCGAAGCGAAAGCGAGUCUUAACAGGGCGAUUAGUCGGAAGGAGUAGACGCGAAACCAAGUGAUCUACCCUUGGUCAGGUUGAAGGUUAGGUAACACUAACUGGAGGACCGAACCGAUAAGCGUUGAAAAGCUUCCGGAUGAACUGAGGGUGGGGGUGAAAGGCUAAUCAAACUUGGAGAUAGCUCGUACUCCCCGAAAUGCAUUUAGGUGCAGCCUUGGGAAUUACUACUGUGAGGUAGAGCGACUGAUAAGAUGCGAGGGCUUCACCGCCUAUCAAGUCUUGAUAAACUCCGAAUGCGCAGUAGUUCGAUCCCAGGAGUGAGGGCAUGGGUGCUAAGGUCCAUGUCCUAAAGGAGAAGAAUCCAGACCAUCAGCUAAGGUCCCGAAAUAAUUGCUAAGUUGAACUAACGAAGUCAGAUUGCUAAGACAGCUAGGAUGUUGGCUUGGAAGCAGCCAUUCAUUUAAAGAGUGCGUAACAGCUCACUAGUCGAGGAGUUUGGCGUGGAUAAUAAUCGGGCAUUAAGCAAUUUACCGAAGCUAUGGGAUGUUAACUAAACACUAACAUCGGUAGGGGAGCAUUCCACUCUGCGUCGAAGGUGAAGCGUGAGCUUUGCUGGAGCGUGUGGAAAAGCAAAUGUAGGUAUAAGUAACGAUAAAGGGGGUGAGAAACCCCCUCGCCGAAAGACUAAGGUUUCCUGAUCAACGCUAAUCGGAUCAGGGUUAGUCGGGUCCUAAGGCUCAGCCGAACGGUGAGGCCGAUGGCAGAACAGGUUAAUAUUCCUGUACUACCUUAAGGAGUGACGUGGAGACGGAGGAGUGACAACGCCGCGGACUGACGGAAUAGUCCGUUGAAGGGUGUAGAUGUUGAUUAUCCCAGGCAAAUCCGGGAUAAGAGUCGAACCUGAUAGUAUACCAAAUUCUUCGGAAUAAGGUAAUAGUGCGUGUAAGCAUACUCCCAAGAAAAUCCGCUAAACUUAAUCUUUAAGGUACCCGUACCGCAAACGGACACACGUAGUCGGGUUGAAUAUACUAAGGCGCUUGAGUGAUUCACGGUUAAGGAACUAGGCAAAUUGACCCUGUAACUUCGGGAUAAAGGGUCCCAACGAGAGUUGGGCGCAGAGAAUAGGUCCAGGCAACUGUUUAACAAAAACACAGGGCUGUGCUAAAUUGAAAGAUUACGUAUACAGCCUGACACCUGCCCGGUGCUGGAAGGUUAAGAGGAGAUGUCAUCGCAAGAGAAGCAUUGAAUUGAAGCCCCAGUAAACGGCGGCCGUAACUAUAACGGUCCUAAGGUAGCGAAAUUCCUUGUCGGGUAAGUUCCGACCUGCACGAAUGGUGUAAUGAUCUGGACACUGUCUCAACCGUGAGCUCAGUGAAAUUGUAGUAUCGGUGAAGAUGCCGAUUACCCGCGAUGGGACGAAAAGACCCCGUGAACCUUUACUAUAGCUUAACAUUGAAUUUGGGUAAUUGAUGUGUAGGAUAGGCCGGAGACUUUGAAGCAGGUACGCCAGUAUUUGUGGAGUCGCUGUUGAAAUACGGCCCUUUGAUUAUUUGAGUUCUAACUCGUAGAUACGAGGACACUGUUUGGUGGGUAGUUUGACUGGGGUGGUCGCCUCCAAAAGUGUAACGGAGGCUUCUAAAGGUGCCCUCAGGACGAUUGGUAACCGUCCGUAGAGUGUAAUGGCAUAAGGGCGCUUGACUGGGAGACAGACAAGUCGAUCAGGUAGGAAACUAGAGCAUAGUGAUCCGGUGUUUCCGUAUGGAAGGGACAUCGCUCAAAGGAUAAAAGGUACUCCGGGGAUAACAGGCUGAUCCCUCCCAAGAGCUCAUAUCGACGGAGGGGUUUGGCACCUCGAUGUCGGCUCGUCACAUCCUGGGGCUGGAGAAGGUCCCAAGGGUUGGGCUGUUCGCCCAUUAAAGUGGCACGCGAGCUGGGUUCAGAACGUCGUGAGACAGUUCGGUCUCUAUCUAUCGUGGGCGUAUGAAAUUUGCGUGGCUCUGACACUAGUACGAGAGGACCGUGUUGGACUGACCGCUGGUUUACCAGUUGUGCCGCCAGGUGCAUUGCUGGGUAUCUAAGUCGGGAUUGGAUAAGUGCUGAAAGCAUCUAAGUACGAAGCCAGCCACAAGAUUAGAUUUCUUAGGGUCGUCAAAGACGAUGACGUUGAUAGGAUGCAGGUGUAAAGGUGGUAACAUCAAAGCCGAGCAUUACUAAUUGCCCGUUCACUUUCUUU
rnacentral:rRNA from 1 species